rnacentral:misc_RNA from 1 species
GAUGAAGAACGUAGCGAAAUGCGAUAAGUAAUGUGAAUUGCAGAAUUCAGUGAAUCAUCGAAUCUUUGAACGCACAUUGCGCCCGCCAGCAUUCUGGCGGGCAUGCCUGUUCGAGCGUCAUUUCAACCCUCGAGCCCCCCCGGGGGCCUCGGUGUUGGGGGACGGCACACCAGCCGCCCCCGAAAUGCAGUGGCGACCCCGCCGCAGCCUCCCCUGCGUAGUAGCACACACCUCGCACCGGAGCGCGGAGGCGGUCACGCCGUAAAACGCCCAACUUUCUUAGAGUUGACCUCGGAUCAGGUAGGAAUACCCGCUGAACUUAAGCAUAUCAAUAAGCGGAAGGA